CUGUGACCUCAGCCUCUUUCUUCCUCUCCCGUGGGAUUCCCCCAACACCCCCUCCCCUCCUGCCAUUCCUUCCCCCACCAGGCCCCAUGCCUCCCCUCCCCAGUGCCCCCUACCCCCAGGUCUUCCCUCUAGGACAUCAGCCUGGGCUGUGGGUCUUGGUCUCCCACAGAGACUGAGUCCUGGGAGAAGGGCAGAGCCUUGGUUCCCAGUGCAGCCCCUGUGCCAGCCUGCAGUGGGCGCUGGUUCAGCCGGUGCACACUGGGUCCUGCCCCCACCUGAGGAGCGGCCUGGGGCCUGGUCAGCCCUGCUGGUGUCUGGCCUGCAGCCAGCACCGGCUCUGCUAUUCACACUUGGUUACAGCACUGCUGAGCUGGACUAAAAUGCCCAACAAGGAACUUUACUAAAAACUGAGGCAAGAAAGAAAACACACAUGACAUAAAAAUAGUCAAGGGCACAUU